rnacentral:lncRNA from 1 species
UGCAGAAGUUCCGUAAGAUCACCUAAUAUUUUAAUCAGUUUCUGCUGAUCAACAUAGUUAAACAUUUCCCACCACUUGAUUAACUUUUUGGGCACCUUGACAACCAUCAGGACUCUAGACUUGGUGGACAAAUCCAUCCUAUAAUAACACAUAAAACGUUAUCUCAAAAAUUCGAUAGGAGUAUAAGAUUCCCAACCCUUGGGAUUUUUGACGAAGGCAUAUGUCGAUGGGACAGACCACUUCAUGACUCCAAUUUUCCGAACAGAAGUACUGAGCAAAACCAGUCAACUUGGCUAACAACUCUAGAUUACGGGGCGAGAGACCUAGGCUAAUAAUAAGACAAAGGCCAACACAAAGAUU